CCAAUGCGGAAUCCCCAGGAGGUCACUCUCCCUAGGCACCGUCCUAAUGUCAAAGUGUCAUAGGCUCUGUCCCUUUACGGUCAGUCCCCUUCUACAAAGCUGGAUUUGCAGCUGGACUUCAAGUCUGCACCUGCACAUCCCAAUAACUUCUCAGAGUCCUGUGGAUGAUGACCAAUGGGACAAAACAUGCAGGAAACAGUU
rnacentral:snoRNA from 1 species